rnacentral:rRNA from 1 species
AGAGUUUGAUCAUGGCUCAGGAUGAACGCUGGCGGCGUGCCUAAUGCAUGCAAGUCGAGCGACGCAUACUGGAGGGGUAACCCACCGGUAUGACGGAGCGGCGAACGGGUGAGUAACACGUGAGCAACCUGCCCCACAGACCGGGACAGCCCAAGGAAACCUGGAUUAAUACCGGAUACCCUCGGACGAUCUCAUGAUCGAUCGAGGAAAUGCCUUUGUGCUGUGGGAUGGGCUCGCGGCUUAUCAGCUAGUUGGUGGGGUAACGGCCUACCAAGGCAUCGACGAGUAGCUGGUCUGAGAGGACGAUCAGCCACACUGGGACUGAGACACGGCCCAGACUCCUACGGGAGGCAGCAGCAGGGAAUCUUGCGCAAUGGGCGAAAGCCUGACGCAGCGACACCGCGUGGGGGACGAAGGCCUUUCAGGUCGUAAACCCCUUUCGGCAGGGACGAAGCGAUCUCGUGACGGUACCUGCAGAAGAAGCCUCGGCUAACUACGUGCCAGCAGCCGCGGUAACACGUAGGAGGCGAGCGUUGUCCGGAAUCAUUGGGCGUAAAGAGCUCGUAGGCGGUUCAGCAAGUCGGCUGUGAAAUUCCGAGGCUCAACCUCGGAACUGCAGUCGGUACUGCUGUGACUCGAGUCCGGUAGAGGAGAAUGGAAUUCCCGGUGUAGCGGUGAAAUGCGCAGAUAUCGGGAGGAA